rnacentral:rRNA from 1 species
UACGUAGGGGGCAAGCGUUGUCCGGAAUCAUUGGGCGUAAAGCGCGCGUAGGCGGCCCUGUAAGUCCGCUGUAAAAGUCAAAGGCUCAACCUUUGAAAGCCGGUGGAUACUGCAGGGCUAGAGUCCGGAAGAGGCGAGUGGAAUUCCUGGUGUAGCGGUGGAAUGCGCAGAUAUCAGGAAGAACACCCGUGGCGAAGGCGGCUCUCUGGGACGGUACUGACGCUGAGACGCGAAAGCGUGGGGAGCGAACAGG